CUGCCAUCUGUGGUGGCCUAGAGAAAAUGAAAAUGACAGGGUUCCAGAAUUUUUGAGGCCACGUGGUGGCACCUUGGACAUAACCAAUAGGCAGCAAGGCUAGAGUAGCAACAAAAAAGGCCUGACUCACUGGGAUUUGUGCUGGGGUUUUAUUCCUGGUUCUGGCUGUUUUCCCAGACCUCACCCAGGAGAAUAAGAGGAGCUCUGCUUGGAUCCUGCUAUUACAGAAUUGUCAAAAGGAACAUUCCUCCAACCGCUUACAUUUUGUAGUAUAUUUGAGCAAAACAACACGAUUCCCAAAUCAGCCACUCCAACCAAGGAUGUGAUCUGACAGCACUUAUUCAAAAACAGAGAGGUUAGGGUUUGAAUUGGUGAAAUGAAUAAAGCAGAAGGUCCUGUCCAAUCUAAUGUGAGUAGAACAAGAAAGCACAGUAGUGUUGGAUUUGCCCUCUCUCUGUCUGACGUGUGAGCUGUGACAUCCAUCUUCUCCUGCCUGUGGUGCUCCUGGUUUCCUGUCAUUCAGACCUCCUGGAAUCUACACCAUUGCUUCUCCAGCUGUGAAGGCCUCAAAACAAACAACACCACCUUUUGUGGGCCAUCAGCUUACAGGCAGCAGAUCGUGGG
rnacentral:lncRNA from 1 species